rfam:Globodera pallida, Lindley, WGS project CBXT01000000 data, contig: pathogens_Gpal_scaffold_1757_contig_1
GCCCCUGUGGCCUAGUGGACUAAGGCGUCGGUCUCCUAAACCGGCGACGCGGGUUCGACUCCCGCCAGGGGUA